UGAAUAGGCAAAGCAAGAGAAAUCUUGUGACGCAAAGCUAUAGGGGUUAAGGCAGUUAUGCUAUACCAGCCAGUUGCUAA
rnacentral:ncRNA from 1 species